rnacentral:rRNA from 1 species
CAUGCCGUAAACGAUGUCAACUAGCCGUUGGGCUCCUUGAGGGCUUAGUGGCGCAGCUAACGCGAUAAGUUGACCGCCUGGGGAGUACGGUCGCAAGACUAAAACUCAAAUGAAUUGACGGGGACCCGCACAAGCGGUGGAUGAUGUGGUUUAAUUCGAUGCAACGCGAAAAACCUUACCCACCUUUGACAUGGUCGGAACCCUUUAGAGAUAGAGGGGUGCUCGAAAGAGAGCCGAUACACAGGUGC